rnacentral:lncRNA from 1 species
GUCUUCCUACCCAGCGCCGCGGCUCUCGGAGGCUGCCAGUGGCUGGGUGCGCCUGGCCUGAGUCCUCCACCCGAAGAAAAUAAGGAACCUGGCCAGAGAGAGGCAAAAGGAAGAGUCUGCUCCUCAUGUUCCUUCUUGCUGUGGUUUUACCCUCGCCACUUAUUUCGUGGUCAUUCAUUGGUGAGUAUUUGAGCAACGUUCAUAACAUGACUGGGGGCCCUUGACAGUGAUCGGAUGUGCGGAAACGUAGGUAAAAGCUCACUCAACAGUGAGCGAGACUUCACUGGAUUAAAAAAAUAGUCCAUUUCCUUUUUUUUUUUAACUUUUACUUUCAGUUCAGGGGUACAUGUGCAGGUUUGUUACAUAGGUAAACUUGUGUCAUGGGGUUUGCUGUACAGAUGAUUUCAUCACCCAGGUAUUAAGCCUAGUACCCAUUAGUUAUUUCUCCUGAUCCUCUCCCUCCUUCCACCUUCCAUCCUCUGAUAGGAACCAGUGUAUGUUGUUCCCCUCUAUGUGCCCAUAUGUUCCCAUCAUUUAGCUCCCACUUAUAAGCGAGAACAUGCAGUAUUUAAUUUUCUCUUCCUGUGCUAGUUUGCUAAGGAUGAUGGCCUCCAGCUCCAUCCAUGUCUCUGCAAAAGACAUGAUCUCAUUCUUUUUUAUGGCUGCAUGGUUGUCCGUGGUGUGUAUGUACCACAUUUUCUUUAUCCAGUCUACCAUUGAUGGGCAUUUAGUAGAUUCCAUGUCUUUGCUAUUGUGAACAGUGCUGCAAUCAUAUGAAAAAAGCUUAAUAUUACUGAUCAUUAGAGAAAUGCAAAUCAAAACCACAAUGAGAUACCAUCUCACACCAGUCAGAGUGGCUAUUAUUAAAAAGUCAAAAAAUAACAGAUGCUGGCGAGGUUGCAGAGAAAAAGGAAUGUUUUUACACUGUUGGCAGGAGAGCAAAUUAAUUCACUAGUUGUUGAAGACAGUGUGGCAAUUCCUCAAAGGCCUAAAAACAGAAAUAUCAUUUGACUCAGCAAUCCCAUUACUGGAUAUAUACCUAACGGAAUGUAAAUUUUUCUAUUAUAAAGACACAUGCACACAUAUUGGCCGGGCGUGAUGGCUUACACCUCUAAUCCCAGCACUUUGGGAGGCUGAGGCAGGCAGAUCAUUUGAGGUCAGGAGUUCGAGACCAGCCUGGCCAACAUGGCUAAACCUCAUCUCUACUAAAAAUACAAAAAUUAGUCAGGCAUGGUGGUGCAUGCCUGUUGUCUCAGCUACUCAGGAGGCUGAGGUGGGAGGAUUGCUUGAACCCAGGAAACAGAGGUUGCAGUGAGCCGAGAUCAUGCCACUGCACUCCAGCCUGGGUGACAGAGUAAGACUCUGUCUCAAAAAAAAAAAAAAAAAAAAAGACACAUGCAUCUAUGGUCCAUUUACUUUUGCCUGUUCAAUGAGAUAACCAAUUGUGCCACUAGCAAGAAUGAAGCUAGUUCUUCUCAAAUGCUCAGCUUUGUGCUUCGAAAAUGAGAAGAGACACAGGCCCUGCCUCCCUGAGAACACCUCUUGACAAAUGGAUUUCUGAAAAGGAAUUCAUUCAGUUAUUCAACACAGAUGUUUACGUGCCAGAUACUAUUGUAGGCAUUUGAGAUACAGCAGUGACCAAAACAGACAUCAAUCCCUGCCCUGGUGAACAUUCGUCCAAGUUGUGCACAAAUACAUUUUUAUUAAUGAAAGGAGGUUUUUCAACUCCCAGGGGGUGACUGUUACUUAAGGAAAGCUGACUGUGGAUUCUUCUCUUCUUCUUUUUAUUUAUUUAUUUAUUUAUUUGAGACAGAGUCUCACUCUGUUGCCCAGGCUAGAGUACAGUGGCACGAUCUCAGCUCACUGCAGCCUCUGCCUCCUGGGUUCAAGUGAUUCUCCUGCCUUAGCCUCCCAAGUGGCUGGGAUUACAGGCAUACGCCAUCAUACCAGGCUAAUUUUUGUAUUUUUAGUAGAAACAGGGUUUCACUAUGUUGGCCAGCCUGGUCUCGAACUCCUGGCCUCAAGUGAUCCACCCACCUCGGCCUCCCAAAGUGCUCGGAUUACAGGCAUGAGCCACUGCACCUGGCCGGAUUCUUAUCUUCUCUUAAGAAAAGACCCUUUCUGUGCCCAUGCCAGGGGUCCCCUGGUGAUGGGAGGCAGUAGAGGUUGCUGAUCAGUGGCCAUGGAGGACCAGGUGACCAAAAGCUGGGAGGCAAGAAGGCAGUAGGGUGCAGGACUGAGGCUCCAAUCCUGGUGCACGUUCCAUUGUCCCGCUGGACUUCGCUUACAAAACACAAAUUCAAGGUUGGGCAUGGUGGCUUGCGCCUAUAGUCCCAUCCACUUGGGAGGCUGAGGCUGGAGGAUCACUUGUGCCCAGGAGGUGCAGGCUGCAGUGAGCCAUGGGUGCAACACUGUUCUCCAGCCUGAGUAACAGACCAUGACCUUGGCUUCAAAACAAACCAACAAACAAAACAUAAAGUCAAAGAUCAAAUUAGUAAGAUUUUAAAUGAAUAAUUAAUUAAACCCCAAGUGCUAGGGGAAUGUGAAAACUUCCAAAUGCUGGGACUUUCUGAACAUGUGGGGCCCUGAGUGACUAUCCCGGUUACUCAAGCUGGCCCUGCCCAGAGCUGUUAACUGGUAUGUUCUACAGGGAUGGUAUCUCUCUUCCUACCUUGCAGCUAUGCUGUGAAGAGUAAGAGGAAGUAUUCUGAAAAGUGCAAGGUCUUAUACUGAGAAAGGCACAGAAGCAACACUGCAAAUAUCACAAAUCUCCAGCACCGUAUGCUGUUACUCUGAGCUGGAUUUUUUGUUCUUUUGUUUGCAUAGAUUAUUCUGCUUUUAAUCUUCAAAAUCUGCGCAUGAAAGGGGACUGCACAGAAUUUUUUUUUUCUUUUUGAGAUGGAAUCUCAUUCUGUCUGUCACUCAGGCUGGUGUGUGCAGUGGCAAGAUAUAGGCUCACGGCAACCUCUGCCUCCCUGGUUCCAGCGAUUCUCCUGCCUCAGCCUCCUAAGUAGCUGGGAUUACAGGCAUGGGUCACCACACCUGGC